rnacentral:rRNA from 1 species
AGGACGAACGCUGGCGGCGUGCUUAACACAUGCAAGUCGAACGGUAAGGCCCCUUCGGGGGUACACGAGUGGCGAACGGGUGAGUAACACGUGAGCAACCUGCCCUUGACUCUGGAAUAACAGCUGGAAACAGCUGCUAAUACCGGAUAUGACCUCAAACGGCAUCGUCUGAGGUGGAAAGCUCCGGCGGUCAAGGAUGGGCUCGCGGCCUAUCAGCUAGUUGGUGAGGUAACGGCUCACCAAGGCUUCGACGGGUA